GGGAACUUCUCAUGUCUGAGAUCCAUAUCAAUGCUGAGAAAGGUGGAGAGUUCUUCAUAGACACUGACAAACAAUUGCGAGCAGCAACAAGUCCAAUACCGAGCCCACAGAGCAGUGGAGACUUUGCAGCAUUAGGCCAAGUGGUCGGAGGUUUCGUCAUGAGUUGCAGAGUACAAGGGGAAGGAAAAAGCAGCAAGCCGAUGGUUCAACUCGCAAUGCG
rnacentral:misc_RNA from 1 species